rnacentral:rRNA from 1 species
AACGCGAAGAACCUUACCUACUCUUGACAGUCCAGAGAAUCCUGCAGAGAUGCGGGAGUGCCGAAAGGAACUUUGAGACAGGUGCUGCAUGGCUGUCGUCAGCUCGUGUUGUGAGAUGUUGGGUUAAGUCCCGUAACGAGCGCAACCCUUAUCCUUAGUUGCCAGCAUUCAGUUGGGGACUCUAAGGAGACUGCCGGUGAUGAACCGGAGGAAGGCGGGGACGACGUCAAGUCAUCAUGGCCUUUAUGAGUAGGGCUACACACGUGCUACAAUGGGCGGUACAGAGGGCAGCGAAAGCGCGAGCUGGAGCCAAUCCCGAAAAGCCGUUCGUAGUCCGGAUCGGAGUCUGCAACUCGACUCCGUGAAGUCGGAAUCGCUAGUAAUCGCGAAUCAGAAUGUCGCGGUGAAUACGUUCCCGGGCCUUGUACACACCGCGCAUA